AUUGAACGCUGGCGGCAGGCCUAACACAUGCAAGUCGGGCGGAUGAAGGGAGCUUGCUCCUGGAUUCAGCGGCGGACGGGUGAGUAAUGCCUAGGAAUCUGCCUGGUAGUGGGGGAUAACGUCCGGAAACGGGCGCUAAUACCGCAUACGUCCUGAGGGAGAAAGUGGGGGAUCUUCGGACCUCACGCUAUCAGAUGAGCCUAGGUCGGAUUAGCUAGUUGGUGGGGUAAAGGCCUACCAAGGCGACGAUCCGUAACUGGUCUGAGAGGAUGAACAGUCACACUGGAACUGAGACACGGUCCAGACUCCUACGGGAGGCAGCAGUGGGGAAUAUUGGACAAUGGGCGAAAGCCUGAUCCAGCCAUGCCGCGUGUGUGAAGAAGGUCUUCGGAUUGUAAAGCACUUUAAGUUGGGAGGAAGGGCAGUAAGUUAAUACCUUGCUGUUUUGACGUUACCAACAGAAUAAGCACCGGCUAACUUCGUG
rnacentral:rRNA from 1 species